CAGAGUUGAAAAACUCCCUAACCCUUUGUUUACAUACCUGUUCAGUUGCUUCGGCAGGCGGCCCCAGGGCGGGGCCUCCAGCCUGCUCACGCAGGUGCCUGCCGCUGGCGCAAAAAAACUCUUGUUAUAUAUUACCACCCUGAGUCUAAAAACAAAUGAAUCA
rnacentral:misc_RNA from 1 species